UACAGAGGUCCCGAGCGUUGUUCGGAUUCACUGGGCGUAAAGGGCGCGUAGGUGGUGGCUUAAGCGUGCGGUGAAAGCUCGGGGCUCAACUCCGAGUCGGCCGUGCGAACUGGGCUCACUGGAGCAUAGUAGAGGCAGGUGGAAUUCCGGGUGUAGCGGUGGAAUGCGUAGAGAUCCGGAAGAACACCGGUGGCGAAGGCGGCCUGCUGGGCUAUGGCUGACACUGAGGCGCGACAGCGUGGGGAGCAAACAGG
rnacentral:rRNA from 1 species